rnacentral:rRNA from 1 species
CCUACGGGUGGCAGCAGUGAGGAAUAUUGGUCAAUGGCCGGAAGGCUGAACCAGCCAAGCCGCGUGAAGGACGAAGGUGCCAAGCAUUGUAAACUUCUUUUGUCAAGGGACAAAAUCAGGCUCGAGAGCCUGACCGAGGGUACUUGAAGAAAAAGCAUCGGCUAACUCCGUGCCAGCAGCCGCGGUAAUACGGAGGAUGCGGGCGUUAUCCGGAUUUAUUGGGUUUAAAGGGUGCGGAGGCCGGCCGUUAAGCCCGGGGUAAAAAGCCGGGGCUCAACCGCGGCCGAGCCGUUGAAACUGGCUGUCUUGAGAUGUCGAGAGGUAUGCGGAAUGCGCGGUGUAGCGGUGAAAUGCUUAGAUAUUGCGCAGAACUCCGAUUGCGAAGGCAGCAUACCGGCGGCGAUCUGACGCUGAGGCACGAAGGCGUGGGUAUCGAACAGGAUUAGAUACCCCUGUAGUC